rnacentral:misc_RNA from 1 species
GAUGAAGAACGUAGCGAAAUGCGAUAAGUAGUGUGAAUUGCAGAAUUCAGUGAAUCAUCGAAUCUUUGAACGCACCUUGCGCUCCUUGGUAUUCCGAGGAGCAUGCCUGUUUGAGUGUCAUUAAAUUCUCAACUUCAUCAUUUUUGUUGAAGCUUGGAUUGUGGGGGUUGUGCAGAACACUUUGGUGGUCUGCUCCCCUUAAAUGAAUUAGCGAGUUCAAACUGAGCUCCGUCUAUUGGUGUGAUAAUUAUCUACGCUGUGGAUGGGACUUAGACUUGCUUCUAAACUGUCCGCAAGGACAAUUCUUGACAAUUUGACCUCAAAUCAGGUAGGACUACCCGCUGAACUUAAGCAUAUCAAUAAGCGGAGGA